AGCCACUUCUUUCCAAACCCUAGUUCUAUUUCUUCCGCACAACGCCGCCACUCCUCUCUUCUCCUCGUCGCUGAUCUGUCCUUCCGUGCUCCGUGCUCGCCCGUCGCUCCUCGUCUACAUCCGGGAGAGGCCGUUGUCUUCCAGUCCAUCGUCGUCCACGACCUCGCGUCGUUACAUCACACUCCGGAGCUGCUCUUCGUCAAUCCCGCGUGCGACGCCAAGCUCUGCGAUCGUCGGCGUCGGCUCGACCAAAUCCUCCCGACGUGCUAAGCCGCGCGCGUGUGCUGCAUUACGCCCGUCCGGUGCCGCUGUUCCGCGCCCGCCGCUCGUCUCCGUUCACGUACAUCUGCGUGAGCCCGCCGCUGGCUCGGUCCCCGUGCUCUACCUCGCCAUCGACGGCUGCUCCGUCUGCAAGCCGGCGCCUUGCGCUGCACCAUCUCCGUCGCCGUCGCCCUCCGCAGCCAGCACCACCGCCGGCCCAUGUACUGCUUCAACCCUCGCUCGAGCACGUCGGCGUCAUCGUCCCUAUCGCGCCGGCCGGCCGCUCAUCAAGUUCUCCGUGUGUUGUCGUCAUUGGCGUAGGCAGAACUAUUCAUGGGUAUGCAAUGCAUACCCAAUAUGUUUUGCAAAAAAAAUUUAGUAUAUAUGCUCUCCCGCGGCCACACUUAUCAACCUGGGCCUAAAAAACGAAUUUUGCUGUCUCUCGGGAUGCCUAGCCUCAUCAAGUCACCGUGGCCUUUUAAUUUUAUGCCUCGUGUGCUGGGUCUUUGGAACGGAACAGCCAAGGCAACUAAACUGGGACAGACAUAUUGCCUUCCAUCGUGGCCUGCGAAUCAGGGAUCGGGCGAUCGCGUCGCCAACUCGCCAUCUCGCCUAUCGCCGGGCGCCGCCGGCCGACGCGCCUUGCAGUUGUGCCCCUGCCCGCUGCCGCAUCCGUUGAGUUAUCUUCCCCUAUUCUGCUUCUCCAGUUCUCCCGUUCCCGUUUUCCGCGUAUCUGACUGAAUCCCGCAGUCCCGUUAUCUGAUUUACCCUCAAUUGAGAUGAGUUUAGAGGAUGAUGCUUAUCUAUUAAGUUACUGAUAUGCGGGGAGCAAUUCUUGAAUGAUUGCUUGGUUACUUUUAUUGAGCGUGAGUUCUUCUUGCAACUAAAGGACGAUGACAUUAUUGCCCGCUUUCAGAAAGGAGAUCGUAGAGUUAAAUAAUAAAUUUGCUUUGUUCCAAUGUAAUUGAAUUAUUCGAAAAGUUGUCACUAUUAUGAACAAGUUGUAGUUUCGUUCUUAUUGCAAACCUAUAUAUAUAUAUAUUUACAGUAUAUUGUAAGAUUUUUUUGACUUCGAAUACCCAAUAUGAAAAUCCUAGCUCCGCCACUGGUUGUCGUCGUCAUCGAUGUCAACUCCACAUGAUCCUCAACCACCAAGGCCCCUGCACCUCACGUUCCAUUCGCUGUUCAACUCCAGCUCGCCCCCGACGGCAGCCUUCUGGGACGGCUCGUCGCCACCAUGAUCUUCUCCGCGAGCCGGACAUCUUCGCCGCUCCCCGGACCGGUCUUCUCCAUCAACCAAGGUCGUCGUUCCUGGAGUUCGUGUCUCCAUCCUCCAGUGGCGGAGCCAGAAAUUGAAGUUUGUGUAUGUGAUGUCAAACACAUGUACUUUUAUUUAUUUUAAAUAUUUUUUUUUGCAUAAUUUAUACAAACAUACAAAGGAUUUGGUAAAAAGCUAUGUGGUCAAUUGACCACACAGCUUUCCUAUGUGGCUACGCCACUGCCGUCCUCGCGUCAAAUUCCUCACCUCCGUCUUCUCGCGUCGCCCAUGUCCAGCCGUUCAAGGCGUGGCUUUUCUGCAUCCCGAGCUGGCUACGUAUCCCAAUCACAACAACAUCGCUUUGCCGGAUCUGCGUCAUCUAAUCGCUUUGAUCAUAUAUAUACUUGCAGUAGCCCAUCUGGUAUGCCUCCUCUGAAUUCAAACCGUGAGCUCCCAGGGUCAUAUCCCAAUCCCUGCAAUGUAUAAUCCUUUUAUGUAUUCUCCUCUUGUUCAUGUUUCAAUGACAGACGGGUCCCAUCUCUGCAGUUCACCAUCCCAGUCAGCAUCCAAUCAGCCUGGGUCCGGUUCAUCAGUCUCCCAGGCUAGCUGCUACCUUGCAUUUGCUUCUUCCCGGAUAGGAUCACGAAGUGUUGUUGUGAGAUACGACAAGUUCUUCUGCAGCUCUUCACAGGCGAGCCCUCUCUCUUCACCUAUUUUACAUUUUGCUCUCUCUCGCACUGCUAUACAUAGGUUGUGCUUCUUUAUCGAGUCACGUGUCCUAUUCCACUUGUUUACCAUAAUAAUCCUAUAUGUAUCAUUCCUUACCCAUAAUCGUUGCUUCAUGUUUGAGCCUUGCGAGUCGUAGGCGUGUUUAGGCUCUGUUGGUUAUCUCGAUCUGUUAUCGGGAUAUGUUGGGUUGUUGGGAGGUUAUCACAUGCUAUAUCAGUUGUUGGAGAUACACAUGCUUUAUUUAAUUGUUAACAACUAAAAUUGUAAGCAGAGGCAUCUGUGAGCCCCUUUGCGAAAGUAUCAGAACUUUGACUUGCUAAUGUCCCCUAGGACCCGAGUUCUUGUUAUCUGUUCCGAGAUUGAGCGCUCUACCCGUACGUGGGGACGAUUAUUGGGACCCCCCCUCACCCAUUACCUUUUCUCAAGUCAGUUGAAAAGGGGGCCACAACCUUGAUUUUAUUUGCCUAUGCCAUGUAUGCCAUUGUUUACUUACUGUUGCCUUCGGGUGUUUACUUCCUAUUGCCUUCGGGUGUUUAUAUUCUGUACUGUACCCCGUGGGACGUUUAACGAAGUGUGUGGUUUGCACGCCUAGCCGCCGAUGCAAACCCUGAGUCCGUCUCGGAGUACGGCCGAACUUCGUCACGGAUAGCUUAGUUGGGUGGCCCCCCUAGACUUUCUUGUUGAACUAGGAACGGUCUUGUUGUGAGACAUCCACCUGUUGUAAGUGGGUCGAGCAUGCGUAUGGUUACAUUUGGGCAACCCUUGCAUGGUGUACAUCUUAUCGAUAAGCCAUGUCCGCGGUUAUGGACGACUUGGAAUUGUAUAGCUUGAUCAUAGAACAACUUACACCUUUAUGUUGAUGCUAAUAAUUUGCUAACAACUUGUGUAGUAAUAUAGCAUAACUACAGUGGCUACCUAAUAAAACUUGUCCACCGUUGAGUGCCUUUUACAUUGCCUCUUCGCUUUGUUGAAGGGGAUAUGUGUAUUUGGUUGGGUUAUGUUUGUGUAGUAUUUAUCUGUUACCUUAUGCGCUCUCUUAUCUUCUCUGAGUAGACGGAUGUUGUAGCGUGUCUCUAUUGGUUAUAGUUUUGCUGCCGCUAAACCUACCAUAUAGCCCCAGGCGAUAUAUUCGUCCGGCGAGCAUAGCCAUUUCUAGUCUCGCUAAGUACGUGCCGGAGUUCGUUCCUUGGUACUUACUCUCGCCUUUUCUCUUUCUCUUUUGUUUCCUCCCUUUUGUCGGCAACCGAUGGCCCGACAUCGACUGGUACAAGAUGACGAUGUUAGCAAGGUUACCCUUCCAGCUUGGCAUGGGCAGAGUUAUGGACGCCACUGGUUAUCUUCAGGACUCUUAGUCCAAUUUGUAUCUUGUCCGUACUCGGACGUAUUCGAUCUUCUGUAUGAUUUGGAUCUUUGUAUUGUAUAUUUGUAUCUUGACUCGUUGCAGUCGUUGUUGUAAUAUAUGUCUCUU